AUGAUUGAACUUGUUCUCAACAACGAUGUGCUGGAGAAGUGUAUUAAAGACAUCCUCUCUCAAAUAAAACCGGCAGAGGAUGAUCUGAACAAAAGACUAUCUGCAAUUAAGGAGCUAGAAGUUUCCAUGCAACCAGUUGCAGCCUUGAGAGGUGCUGCUGCAAAACCUUUUGGAUCCUUUCUAUCAAAUCUAUACUCAAAAUCAGGAGAUUUGGAUAUAUCAGUCCAGCUCAUGAAUAGCUCAAACCUUCCUAUAAACAAGAAAAAGAAGAUAAGUAUCUUGAAAGCAGUAAGGACAGCUUUGCAAAAGGGAGGUGUUUAUGGAUAUAUGGAGUUCAUUCCUCAAGCAAGAGUCCCAGUUCUUCAGUACGUGAGCAACCGCUUUGGCAUUUCCUGCGAUUUAUCCGUUGAUAACUACCCUGGUCGAAUUAAAUCCAAAAUCUUCUACUGGAUCAGUACUUUGGAUGAGCGCUUUGGUGAUAUGGUUUUAUUGAUCAAGGAGUGGGCAAAAGCUCAAAACAUUAAUGAUCCAAAAAGUGGGACCCUGAACUCCUAUUCGCUUUGCCUACUUGUUCUCUUUCAUUUUCAGACAUGUGAGCCGGCAAUUCUACCACCUUUGGAGGACAUUUAUGAAGGGAAUAUCACAGAAGAUUUUGCAGACAUGACGCUUUAUAAUGAGGAACAUCUUGAUGAGGUUUGUGCUGCAAAUAUAGCAAAAUUUCAAAGCCAGAACAAGGAACAAAGAAAUGAAAGCUCUCUAUGUGAUCUCCUUGCAACCUUUUUUCACAAGUUUUGCCACAUUGACUCCCUUUCGAGUGAUGUGAUAUCUACCUACACGGGUCAGUUUAAGAAGAUUCAGGACAUUCCAAUUCGGCGGAAGAAACCCUAUAGCUUGUUUGUCGAAGAUCCAGUUGAGAGACCUGAUAAUGCUGCUAGAGCGGUUGGUGAGAGAGGGCUCCUCCUAAUUGCUAGUGCCUUCAGUGAUGCUAGGAGCAAGGUAGCUUCUCUCGAGCAUACUGACCGAAACGACUUACUGGCAAUGUUGUCCACACCUGGUGUUUGCUCAAAACUUGGCGGAAGAGUCAUCACUAACAAUUAUACAAAUACCCCGCUAAGGACUCGACAGCAUGUAAACAACGUGGGAGCUAAGGUAUCUAAUAAUCAACGUCGCCCCAGAGUGAAAGCAUUUACAGGUAGCAGACCAGUCCAGAAUCCUACUCAGGCGAACACUGUCCAGAAUCCUACUCAGAUGAACACUGAUACUGCAGGGCGGCAAACGCCAGGACACCACCGAAAUCAUGACCUUCCUCAGGUUUAUGCUAACGCCGCAGUUCAUCAGCCAUCAAGACAGCCAGGGCUAUACACAAACCAUUAUACCCCAUCGGCAUAUACUCCGGGCCGCCAAACAUCAGGAUCAUACCCGAGUCAGAGUCAUCCACAGGUGCACACUACAUGGGGCCCGUCAGGGGUACCAUACGAGAAUCAUGAUCAUCAACCGGCGUAUUCCCCAAUGUACCAAGCAGCAAGGCCGUACUACUAUCCGAGUCAACAGCAGCCUCAUACAAGCGGGUUCCAAACACCAGGAUCAUACCAGUACGAGUAUCAGAGUCAGUCGCCUGUUCAUACAGGCGGGAUCCAAAGGCCAGGACCAUACAACUAUCAUAGUCAACCGCAGGGUCAUACAACUGGGGUCCACAUGCCAAGACAAUACCAGAAUGGAUAUUACAAUCAGCCGGCGUAUACUGCAGGCCAAGGAUCACACCAGAACUGGCGGGGGCCGCAAUACACACCCGACCAUCAGACUAAUAGGUACAAUAGGAAUGGGAUGACUACAAGGUACGAGCCUGUUGCUGGAGGGCUCCAGAAUGGACCGGCACGGGCACGGGACUCGCGGUCGCAAGCCUCCUCAAGCCGUACGGAAUGGCGAGGAAGCAGCCAACAUCAGACCUGA
rnacentral:rRNA from 1 species